UGGGGAAUAUUGCACAAUGGAGGGAACUCUGAUGCAGCGACGCCGCGUGAACGAAGAAGGCUUUCGAGUCGUAAAGUUCUUUUAUAUGGGAAGAUAAUGACGGUACCAUAAGAAAAAGCCCCGGCUAACUACGUGCCAGCAGCCGCGGUAAUACGUAGGGGGCUAGCGUUGUCCGGAAUCACUGGGCGUAAAGGGUUCGCAGGCGGAAAUGCAAGUCAGGUGUAAAAGGCAGUAGCUUAACUACUGUAAGCAUUUGAAACUGCAUAUCUUGAGAAGAGUAGAGGUAAGUGGAAUUUUUAGUGUAGCGGUGAAAUGCGUAGAUAUUAAAGAGAAUACCGGUGGCGAAGGCGACUUACUGGGCUCAUUCUGACGCUGAGGAACGAAAGCGUGGGUAGCAAACAGG
rnacentral:rRNA from 2 species